GUUCAUGUGAACCUAGCCCUACAGCCCAGACACUUAAUCUCUACUGCACUACUACUGACGACUUCGAGUCGCAAGGAAAUAAGGAAAUUUCUCCUUAAAAUGCUCAGCGUUCACCAAGUGUGGACGGCAGCUAUCCCUAAAAGCUAUCGUGAAUUGAGGUGUGGAGAGCUGGACAGACGACUCAGCAAUUACCAGCACGAGCUGCUCUUGCCGAAGACCCCGGUUCAGCUCCCAGAAUCCAGAUCAAGCCAGCUCAGAAACAGCUACCAGUAAAUGUAGCCCUGGGAGAUCGGAAGCCCUCUUCUUCCUGGAUACUGUGAAACCAAAAAGACCUACAAAGACUCUAAGGGAAUAAAGGGUUUUCAACCACCA